UGGGGAAUAUUGGACAAUGGGCGAAAGCCCGAUCCAGCAAUGCCGCGUGAGUGAAGAAGGCCUUCGGGUUGUAAAGCUCUUUUACCCGGGAAGAUAAUGACUGUACCGGGAGAAUAAGCUCCGGCUAACUCCGUG
rnacentral:rRNA from 1 species